rnacentral:rRNA from 1 species
CCCUUAGAUGUUCUGGGCCGCACGCGCGCUACACUGACUGGUGCAACAAGUGUCGCUCCUUGGCCGAUAGGCCUGGGCAAUCUUUGAACGCCAGUCGUGAUGGGGAUAGAUUCUUGCAAUUUUUGAUCUUCAACGAGGAAUUCCUAGUAAACGCGAGUCAUCAACUCGCAUUGAUUACGUCCCUGCCCUUUGUACACACCGCCCGUCGCACCUACCGAUUGAAUGGUCCGGUGAACCCUCCGGAUCGGCUCGCGCCUCGGUGCCGCCGAGAAGUUGGCUAAACCUUACCAUUUAGAGGAAGGUGAAGUCGUAACA